rnacentral:rRNA from 1 species
CCCUUAGAUGUUCUGGGCCGCACGCGUGCUACACUGAGUGGAUCAGCGGGUCAGGUUGCGCGAAAGCGUUUCCUAAUCUUUAAAUCCGCUCGUGAUGGGGAUUGACGGUUGCAAUUUUCUGUCAUGAACGAGGAAUACCUUGUAAGCGCGGGUCAUCAUCCCGCGCUGAAUACGUCCCUGCCCUUUGUACACACCGCCCGUCGCUCCUACCGAUUGAGUGGUCCGGUGAGGCUUUGGGAUCUGAGCGGAAAGAGCGUUUCGCUGUUUCUGCUCGGAAAACUCAGUCGAACCUUAUUAUUUAGAGGAAGGAGAAGUCGUAACA